AACGUUCAUCAGGGGAUAGAGGUCUUUGGUUUCCGCAGUGGCCAGGCGCUUGUUGUGCUGCAGCCUUGGAGCACAGUAAGCAGCGCUCUAGUGUGGCUUUAUUUUUACAUUGAAAAAGCACUGUAAAACUGCAAACCACCAUUAGAUCAAAAUAAAACUUUUCUCUUAUUU